GUGUGUGGAUAGUGUUCAGCACCAAGGACAUUCAUAUUUACCUGUGUGUGGAUAGUGUUCAGCGCCAAGGACAGACAUGUUUACCU
rnacentral:pre_miRNA from 1 species